GUUGUUUUAUAUUUUAUUUUAUUACUUUAUUUUUUCAUUGUUGCUUUUUAAAACUUAGACAUCUUUUUCCUUAAAAGUGAUAGAAUUAGUCCACCUCCAAUGGCAUCUUACACAGAACCUCAUUAAAUAAUGCAGGGGAAAUUGGAGCUGGUCUGGUGAGUUAUCUGGUCUUCCCUCCGCCUCAUUACGUAUAACCCAUUUCCCACACCAGCGCCUGAGAGGAGCGUAAGGCCUCAGGAAGCCCAUUUAUAACCACUAGCUUCAAGUACUGUAGGCACCUGUUAAAUUGUAACCUGAAGGUAGACUGUGUGAAACCAUCAUCAGGCAUUCAUACCUUAUUUGGAAGGGAUUUAUAUGAUUUCCUGCCCAGUGAGCAAUCAGAUAUCCAAAGGUGAGGAUAUAUCUUGGAAGCAGAAGCAAGUUAGGAAAAGGUUCAGGGCAUUGGACCCAGCCUUUGGGGGCAGUCUUUGUUUGUGAUGGUUUUGAGAAUGACCUUUCCCCAUCUUCCAGAAGCAAGCAGCAUAAGGCUUGGCAGGAAGGUACGAGUCCUGGGAAGGAUAUACCUACACCUGGGGUCACGACUUCAAAUGCCUGCAAUGCCAGCUCUCUCGGUUACUCCAUGAACACGGCAUGUGAAGGCUGUUCUGCAGUUUGCCAGUCUCUACUGCCUCGCUUCGAGCCACCUGCAGUGAUACGCCUGGCUGUGUCUGAAUGUCAGGCCUAGAUUCCUGAGGGAGCGAACCUGACAGAAAGAGACCGACUUGGUGGCAGUCAAAAAGGCUUCUGACCAACAACUGUCAGCACCAGAGUCUGUAUUGAUAUCGAUAUUCUAUUCACUUGCCCGGUAGGUACCUGUUUUACAGAAGUCAUUGCUUUUUGGGGUCUUGGAGAAACCUAAAAAGAUAGAUGAUAAAGAUGAAUCACCUUGGUACUAACUUAGGAAAUUUUAUCAUCUUCCAGCACCCAGUGGCCCACAGGAGAGGUGGGUAGAACCACACCCAGUACAGCCAUACAAGCUGUACUGUCUCAGACUAGGAGUUAUAGCAGCCAUAAAAUACCCUGACCCCUAGCACAAACCUGCAUCCUACCAGGGUAAGUCUCCUUCAUGCGUAGCACAAUAAUAUCCGUAUUAUGUCAUCAGAAAUGGUCAUCAGGAAAGAUGGGAUAAAUCCUCUUACCAGGGUGUCUCUAACAGUAUAAAACUCUGAAGCUCCUUCCAAUCCUCUUAUGAUUUCAUGGUGUCUAGUGAGAUCCUGUCCAUAACCACUGUGGUGCCUUUCUGAUGUUUUCAUCUGUCGAGCAUUUGUUUUCUCUUGUUUUGGCAACAGCAUUUUUUUAGAC
rnacentral:lncRNA from 1 species